rnacentral:rRNA from 1 species
GGAAUAUUGGACAAUGGGCGCAAGCCUGAUCCAGCCAUGCCGCGUGUGUGAAGAAGGCUUUCGGGUUGUAAAGCACUUUAAGCUGUGAGGAAAACUGCGUUAUUAAUACUAGCGUAGCUUGACGUUAGCAGCAGAAUAAGCACCGGCUAACUCCGUGCCAGCAGCCGCGGUAAUACGGAGGGUGCGAGCGUUAAUCGGAAUUACUGGGCGUAAAGCGCGCGUAGGUGGCGUGUUAAGUUGGAUGUGAAAGCCCAGGGCUUAACCUUGGAAUUGCAUCCAAAACUGGCAGGCUAGAGUACAAGAGAGGGGGGUGGAAUUUCCGGUGUAGCGGUGAAAUGCGUAGAGAUCGGAAGGAACACCAGUGGCGAAGGCGACCCCCUGGCUUGAUACUGACGCUGAGGUGCGAAAGCGUGGGGAGCA